rnacentral:rRNA from 1 species
CCUACGGGUGACAGCAGUGAGGAAUAUUGGUCAAUGGCCGGAAGGCUGAACCAGCCAAGCCGCGUGAAGGACGAAGGUUCCAAGCAUUGUAAACUUCUUUUGUCAAGGGACAAAAUCAGGCUCGAGAGCCUGUCCGAGAGUACUUGCAGAAAAAGCAUCGGCUAACUCCGUGCCAGCAGCCGCGGUAAUACGGAGGAUGCGAGCAUUAUCCGGAUUUAUUGGGUUUAAUGGAUUCGUAGGCGGACUGUUAAGUCAGCGGUAAAAGCCCGGGGCUCAACCCCUGCGAGCCGUUGAAACUGGCUGUCUUGAGAUGGCGAGAGGUAUGCGGAAUGCGCAGUGUAGCGGUGAAAUGCUUAGAUAUGGCGCAGAACUCCGAUUGCGAAGGCAGCAUACCGGCGGCGAUCGGACGCUGAGGCACGAAAGCGUGGGUAUCGAACAGGAUUAGAUACCCCGGUAGUC